rnacentral:rRNA from 1 species
AUUGAACGCUGGUGGCAUGCUUAACACAUGCAAGUCGAACGGCAGCAUGACCUAGCUUGCUAGGUUGAUGGCGAGUGGCGGACGGGUGAGUAACGCGUGGGAAUCUACCUAUAGGUGGGGGAUAACUCGGGGAAACUCGGGCUAAUACCGCAUAGAAUAUGAGUAUUAAAGUGUGCCUCUGCUUGCAAGCACAUGCCGAUAGAUGAGCCCGCGUUGGAUUAGCUAGUUGGUUGGGUAAAGGCUGACCAAGGCGACGAUCCUUAGCUGUUUUGAGAGGAAGAUCAGCCACACUGGGACUGAGACACGGCCCAG